CAACUACUCCCACCAUCCCAAAAUUCUUGUCUUAGAUUUGUCUAGAUACGGAUAUGUAUGAUACAUCCGUAUCUAGACAAAUCUAAGACAAGAAUUUUGGGAUAGAGGGAGUACUUU
rfam:Triticum aestivum genome assembly, contig: Triticum_aestivum_CS42_TGACv1_scaffold_320496_4BL